GGGGUGGCCGGAUCGCUCAUGACGGGGCAGAAGGAGGAGCUCCGGGUCUUCGCUGAGGUUCUUCAAGCUGUCAGGGAAGAUCAGAGUCCAUCCUGCAGGAACACAUUGAUGCAGAUUGCAUUGGAAAGAAGAUCUGAGAGACUUAGUUUGCCUGUGGGAUCAGAUGGAUGUGCUCACACAUGUGCUCCAGGAGAGUCCUUCAGUGAUUUCCAGCUCCCAUUGGCGAUGGGAACACCUGCAGAGGAGAAUGGACCAGCUGGAGCUCCAGGCACAGCUCUAGCUGCUCACAGCUGAGCCUGUGGAACGCUCCAGGAGCCAUCCCUGCUGCCAUCUCUCUCCCUGUUGGCAGCUCCCUCCCUGUAGCCCUCAGACCCUGCCCAUCCCCUUUUUUACCUCCCCAGCUGACCCCUUUCCUUUGCUUCUCCUUAAUAAAGAGUUUGGCUUUUUCCAAAACCCAAAGGCAGGAGCACCUGCACAGCAGAAUGGACCAGCUGGAGCUCCAGGCACAGCUCUAGCUGCUCACAGCUGAGCCUGUGGCAAGCUCCAGGAGCUCCUGCCAUCCCUCUCCCUCUUGGCAGCUCCCUCCCUGCAGCCCUCAGGCCUUGUCCAUCCCCCUUUUUACCUCCCAGCUUACCCCUUCCCUUCUCUUUCCCUUAAUAAAGUUUGGCUUUUUCACGUUA